rnacentral:rRNA from 1 species
GACGUAGGGUGCGAGCGUUGUCCGGAUUUAUUGGGCGUAAAGAGCUCGUAGGCGGCUCGUCGCGUCGACCGUGAAAACCCGCGGCUUAACUGCGGGCUUGCGGUUGAUACGGGCGGGCUAGAGUUCGGCAGGGGAGACUGGAAUUCCUGGUGUAGCGGUGAAAUGCGCAGAUAUCAGGAGGAACACCGGUGGCGAAGGCGGGUCUCUGGGCCGAUACUGACGCUGAGGAGCGAAAGCGUGGGGAGCGAACAGG